rnacentral:rRNA from 1 species
UGGGGAAAUUUGGACAAUGGGCGAAAGCCUGAUCCAGCAAUGCCGCGUGUGUGAAGAAGGCCUUCGGGUUGUAAAGCACUUUUGUCCGGAAAGAAAUCCUUGGCUCUAAUACAGUCGGGGGAUGACGGUACCGGAAGAAUAAGCACCGGCUAACUACGUGCCAGCAGCCGCGGUAAUACGUAGGGUGCAAGCGUUAAUCGGAAUUACUGGGCGUAAAGCGUGCGCAGGCGGUUUGCUAAGACCGAUGUGAAAUCCCCGGGCUCAACCUGGGAACUGCAUUGGUGACUGGCAGGCUAGAGUAUGGCAGAGGGGGGUAGAAUUCCACGUGUAGCAGUGAAAUGCGUAGAGAUGUGGAGGAAUACCGAUGGCGAAGGCAGCCCCCUGGGCCAAUACUGACGCUCAUGCACGAAAGCGUGGGGAGCAAACAGGAUUAGAUACCCUGGUAGUCCACGCCCUAAACGAUGUCAACUAGUUGUUGGGGAUUCAUUUCCUUAGUAACGUAGCUAACGCGUGAAGUUGACCGCCUGGGGAGUACGGUCGCAAGAUUAAAACUCAAAUGAAUUGAC